rnacentral:rRNA from 1 species
GAUGAACGCUGGCGGCGUGCCUAAUACAUGCAAGUCGAGCGAACGGACGAGAAGCUUGCUUCUCUGAUGUUAGCGGCGGACGGGUGAGUAACACGUGGAUAACCUACCUAUAAGACUGGGAUAACUUCGGGAAACCGGAGCUAAUACCGGAUAAUAUUUUGAACCGCAUGGUUCAAAAGUGAAAGACGGUCUUGCUGUCACUUAUAGAUGGAUCCGCGCUGCAUUAGCUAGUUGGUAAGGUAACGGCUUACCAAGGCAACGAUGCAUAGCCGACCUGAGAGGGUGAUCGGCCACACUGGAACUGAGACACGGUCCAGACUCCUACGGGAGGCAGCAGUAGGGAAUCUUCCGCAAUGGGCGAAAGCCUGACGGAGCAACGCCGCGUGAGUGAUGAAGGUCUUCGGAUCGUAAAACUCUGUUAUUAGGGAAGAACAUAUGUGUAAGUAACUGUGCACAUCUUGACGGUACCUAAUCAGAAAGCCACGGCUAACUACGUGCCAGCAGCCGCGGUAAUACGUAGGUGGCAAGCGUUAUCCGGAAUUAUUUGGCGUAAAGCGCGCGUAGGCGGUUUUUUAAGUCUGAUGUGAAAGCCCACGGCUCAACCGUGGAGGGUCAUUGGAAACUGGAAAACUUGAGUGCAGAAGAGGAAAGUGGAAUUCCAUGUGUAGCGGUGAAAUGCGCAGAGAUAUGGAGGAACACCAGUGGCGAAGGCGACUUUCUGGUCUGUAACUGACGCUGAUGUGCGAAAGCGUGGGGAUCAAACAGGAUUAGAUACCCUGGUAGUCCACGCCGUAAACGAUGAGUGCUAAGUGUUAGGGGGUUUCCGCCCCUUAGUGCUGCAGCUAACGCAUUAAGCACUCCGCCUGGGGAGUACGACCGCAAGGUUGAAACUCAAAGGAAUUGACGGGGACCCGCACAAGCGGUGGAGCAUGUGGUUUAAUUCGAAGCAACGCGAAGAACCUUACCAAAUCUUGACAUCCUUUGACAACUCUAGAGAUAGAGCUUUCCCCUUCGGGGGACAAAGUGACAGGUGGUGCAUGGUUGUCGUCAGCUCGUGUCGUGAGAUGUUGGGUUAAGUCCCGCAACGAGCGCAACCCUUAAGCUUAGUUGCCAUCAUUAAGUUGGGCACUCUAAGUUGACUGCCGGUGACAAACCGGAGGAAGGUGGGGAUGACGUCAAAUCAUCAUGCCCCUUAUGAUUUGGGCUACACACGUGCUACAAUGGACAAUACAAAGGGCAGCGAAACCGCGAGGUCAAGCAAAUCCCAUAAAGUUGUUCUCAGUUCGGAUUGUAGUCUGCAACUCGACUACAUGAAGCUGGAAUCGCUAGUAAUCGUAGAUCAGCAUGCUACGGUGAAUACGUUCCCGGGUCU